UGGGGGGGGGCAGCUUUUAACAUGCAGUCGACGGUAACAGGGUGCUUGCACCGCUGACGAGUGGCGAACGGGUGAGUAAUGCAUCGGAAUGUACCGUGUAAUGGGGGAUAGCUCGGCGAAAGCCGGAUUAAUACCGCAUACGCCCUGAGGGGGAAAGUGGGGGACCGUAAGGCCUCACGUUAUACGAGCAGCCGAUGUCUGAUUAGCUAGUUGGUGGGGUAAAGGCUCACCAAGGCGACGAUCAGUAGCGGGUCUGAGAGGAUGAUCCGCCACACUGGGACUGAGACACGGCCCAGACUCCUACGGGAGGCAGCAGUGGGGAAUUUUGGACAAUGGGCGCAAGCCUGAUCCAGCCAUGCCGCGUGUCUGAAGAAGGCCUUCGGGUUGUAAAGGACUUUUGUCCGGGAGCAAAUCCCAGUGGUUAACACCUACUGGGGCUGAGAGUACCGGAAGAAUAAGCACCGGCUAACUACGUGCCAGCAGCCGCGGUAAUACGUAGGGUGCAAGCGUUAAUCGGAAUUACUGGGCGUAAAGCGUGCGCAGGCGGUUGUGCAAGUCUGAUGUGAAAGCCCCGGGCUUAACCUGGGAACGGCAUUGGAGACUGCACGACUAGAGUGCGUCAGAGGGGGGUAGAAUUCCGCGUGUAGCAGUGAAAUGCGUAGAGAUGCGGAGGAAUACCGAUGGCGAAGGCAGCCCCCUGGGAUGACACUGACGCUCAUGCACGAAAGCGUGGGGAGCAAACAGGGAUUAGAAUACCCUGGUAGUCCACGCCCUAAACGAUGUCAACUACCUGUUGGGGGUUUGAAUCCCUUGGUUAGCGAAGCCUAACGCGAGGA
rnacentral:rRNA from 1 species